GACAGAGGGGUGCAAACGUUGUUCGGAAUUACUGGGCGUAAAGCGUGUGUAGGCGGCUACAUAAGUCGGAUGUGAAAGCCCCGGGCUCAACCCGGGAAGUGCACUCGAUACUGCGUAGCUUGAGUCUCGGAGAGGUUGGUGGAAUUCUCGGUGUAGAGGUGAAAUUCGUAGAGAUUAGGAAGAACACCAGUGGCGAAGGCGACUUACUGGACUGUAACUGACGCUGAGGCAUGAAAGCGUGGGGAGC
rnacentral:rRNA from 1 species